UACGGGGGGGGCAAGCGUUGUUCGGAAUUACUGGGCGUAAAGGGCGCGUAGGCGGCCAUCUAAGUCAGACGUGAAAUCCCUCGGCUCAACCGAGGAACUGCGUCUGAUACUGGAAGGCUUGAAUCCGGGAGAGGGAUGUGGAAUUCCAGGUGUAGCGGUGAAAUGCGUAGAUAUCUGGAGGAACACCGGUGGCGAAGGCGGCAUCCUGGACCGGUAUUGACG
rnacentral:rRNA from 1 species